rnacentral:rRNA from 1 species
CCUACGGGAGGCAGCAGUGAGGAAUAUUGGUCAAUGGGCGGGAGCCUGAACCAGCCAAGUCGCGUGAGGGCAGACGGUCCUAUGGAUUGUACACCUCUUUAGGCGGGGAGCAAUGCCGGGCACGCGUGCCCGGAGGGAGAGUACCCGCAGAAUAAGCAUCGGCUAACACCGUGCCAGCAGCCGCGGUAAUACGGAGGAUGCGAGCGUUAUCCGGAUUUAUGGGGUUUAAGGGGUGCGUAGGCGGAUUUUUAAGUCAGCGGUAAAAUGUCCGGGCUCAACCCGGGCCGGCCGUUGAAACUGGGGAUCUUGAGUGGGCGAGAAGUAUGCGGAAUGCGUGGUGUAGCGGUGAAAUGCAUAGAUAUCACGCAUAACUCCGAUUGCGAAGGCAGCAUACCGGCGCCCGACUGACGCUGAGGCACGAAAGCGUGGGGAUCGAACAGGAUUAGAUACCCCAGUAGUC